rnacentral:rRNA from 1 species
GGUUAAAAAGCUCGUAGUUGGAUUUCUGUUGAGGACGGCCGGUCCGCACUAUGUGCGUGUAUCUGGUUCGGCCUUGGCAUCCUCUUGAGGAACGUUCCUGCGCUUGAUUGCGUGGGGCGGCAUUCAAGACUUUUACUUUGAGGAAAUUAGAGUGUUCACGGCAGGCAAGCGCCUUGAAUACAUUAGCAUGGAAUAAUAAUAUAGGAUCUUGGUUCUAUUUGUUGGUUUCUAGGGCUAAGGUAAUGAUUAAUAGGGAUAAUUGGGGGCAUUUGUAUUAACGCGUCAGAGGUGGAAUUCUUGGAUUGCGUUACGACAAACUACUGCGAAAGCAUUUGCCAAGGAUGUUUUCAUUGAUCAAGAACGAAAGUAUGGGGAUCGAAGAUGAUUAGAUACCGUCGUAGUCUAUACCAUAAACUAUGCCGACUAGGGAUUGGAGGUCGUUCUUUUUAUGACUCCUUCAGCACCUUAUGAGAAAUCAAAGUCUUUGGGUUCCGGGGGGAGUAUAGUCGCAAGGCUGAAACUUAAAGGAAUUGACGGAAGGGCACCACCAGGAGUGGAGCCUGCGGCUUAAUUUGACUCAACACGGGGAAACUCACCAGGUCCAGACAUAGUAAGGAUUGACAGAUUGAUAGCUCUUUCUUGGUUCUAUGGGUGGUGGUGCAUGGCCGUUCUUAGUUGGUGGAGUGAUUUGUCUGGUUUAUUUCGAUAACGAACGAGAUCUUAACCUGCUAAAUAGUAACGCGUAUCUCCGGAUAUUCGAUUACUUCUUAGAGGGACUUUGUGGUUUCAACUGCAAGGAAGUUUGAGGCAAUAACAGGUCUGUGAUGCCCUUAGAUGUUCUGGGCUGCACGCGCGCUACACUGAUGCGUUCAACGAGUUUAUAACCUUGCCCGGUAGGGUUGGGUAAUCUUUUGAAAACGCAUCGUGAUGGG